ACGAAGCAGUCUCCUCUCAUUCUCCAGUGGAAACUGUUUUCCUAAAUCGCUACGUGUGUUCAUUAAUGCAGGGGAAAAACAUUGUAGAGCCAAACUGUGCUUUGAAACGUUGAGCGUCUAUAUGUGCAAUAAAAAUAUUCAUUUUGAUUCAUCUGUCAUUGCAAGGCUACAGUUGUCUAGACACACAGUAAUUGAUUUGAGAAGCCAAAGAGGUUCAUUUUCUAUAUUCUGAGAGUCUGAUGGAAAACACUUGUCACAAGUGUCAGACGCAUCUUAUUCAAAAUAGAUUUCUAUCAAAUAUGAGCCCUUCCUCAAACACAUACGUACAUACUGAUUGUAGGAGAGUGCAGCCACAAAGCUGAAUGGGAGACUGUACAAUGUGUGUGUGUGGAGGGAAUAAUGAAGGGGCGGUCGCUCCCCGGCCGCGGCGUCCGUGCGGGAGGUUAUUCCUGGAGAAGUGACGUACGAAUCUGAUCACAAUCACUAUUUUACUGACUUCAGCGCGAGCGUGGGAGGCCUGAAUCUCUAAGAAUAGAAAACCCUCCCAGUUAUGGUCCAUCCGUGAUCUGAGCUGCUCGUCUUAGCCUGGAGCCGGUCCCAGCAGGGGGCCGGUCCGUCACCGGCCGCACACACACACAGGGACGUCUGCCUCUUCAGUUUGUCCUUUCACGUUUUAUGUCCAAAGUUCCAUGUCUCGCAAAUUAAUGUGGUUCAUGAACCUGUGUUUUCUAGGAGCCGGUGGUGUCAGACGCCUGCAGCUGAUGGUGGGAUGCUAAUUAACGCUAGAAGGACCUCAUUGGUGCUGACGUGCUGGAGCUUCUGUUGCUCCGGUGACAUUUGCCACAGGAACAGGCUCCGUCAUUAUCUGCUGUUUGUGACUCAUCACUUCCCCGAUGACAGAACCCUGGGAGAGGAUUUCCCUCCUACAGCUGACAGCUCACAACAAGAAGGGAGCACAGCUGCUGUAUCUGACCUCACGCCAUGCAAUCACAUAUUAUAGAAAAUAUUCACCCACAAAGAAAAUGAGAAACAAUUUUUUUGGGGGGGAUCAUGUCUCACAUUCCAUCGGGCGGAAUCAAUGGAUCUUAUAUGAGGCAAAUAAUUAAUGCUGGAGCACAGUCCCGCAAGAAAAUCUGAAGCGUUGUGGAACCGUCUUUUUAAAGCUUCGACCCCGGAGCUCAUGAGAACGUGUUUGGAAGCGCUUUGAAUUGAUGCGCUCCUAUUGUGCCUUUUAGAAGAUUUCAGCCUUUUCACUUCAUUGCUCCCUCAUUGACUCACCAUUAAUGACAUUUCUGAAGAAAGAUGAAUAAUUGAUGUUAUUACUGAUGAAACUUAUCUGGAAGGAGUGAAACUUGGAGGCGCCGAGCGGAGCUAAAGACCGGCCUGGACACAACAGAUAGGAAAAGGACCGAGAGGCCACUGCCUAUUUAUCAAGAGUAAGGUGCAUGAAAUUGGCUCUUAACCUCACAGUUAGAAGGUUUAAUUAGAAACCAUGCUUUUGCCACAGGAAGCACGGAGGAGGGGGCAAGUUGUCCAAACAGGGUGAUAAAUGACUUGAGGGACAGGAGGCCUCGCAGGGAAACAGGCUGCUGAGAGGUGACAGCUCUGGUCGCGGCGGGAGGUGAGACGAGCGUCUGAAGGAGCAGGAGAUCGCAGCCCAAGUGCAAGUUCGCACCUCCAGACCUGGAAGGGCUGUUAUCACCGCGGAGGUGAGGGCAGCGUGAGACACGGGUCCGGGUCGGCGCGGCGGCGGCGGCUCAGGCUGACGACAUGGAGUCUUUGCUUCCCUGUGGUUCAGUAUGUGCGUUUUAUGUUAGUGCAAACGAAAAACUUUUUUAUUUUUAAUCGCGUCAUUUUGAAUGGUUUACUUCUGCUUUCCUACUAUUAUAUAUAGAGUUGAUCUUAGACAUAUUUUUAUAUUUGAACACUAGAUUACAUGGAUUCCAGUUUAAAGCACAGACCAAACACACAUCUGCACUCAUCUGCAUGUUGUGCAUGUUGUAAUAUGUUUUUAGGAACGUUAAGGAACCAACAAAAUCUUUUUUUAAUUUAAACUACAGUGUCAUUAAAUGAGUCUUUACUUUAACAAAACAAACUGAAAUGAUU
ensembl:lncRNA